rnacentral:misc_RNA from 1 species
GAUGAAGAACGUAGCGAAAUGCGAUACUUGGUGUGAAUUGCAGAAUCCCGUGAACCAUCGAGUCUUUGAACGCAAGUUGCGCCCGAAGCCAUUAGGCCGAGGGCACGCCUGCCUGGGCGUCACACGUCGUUGCCCCCCCAUCUACUCCUUCGGGAUUGCGGGGGGCGGAUGAUGGCCUCCCGUGCGCCUCGUCGCGCGGUUGGCCUAAAUGCCAAGUCCUCGGCGACGCACGCCACGACAAUCGGUGGUUGCGAAACCUCGGUUGCCCGUCGUGUGCGGUCGUCGCGCGUCGAGGGCUCGAAAAAAUUGCCGGGCUUCGGCUCGACUUUCAACGCGACCCCAGGUCAGGCGGGGUUACCCGCUGAAUUUAAGCAUAUCAAUAAGCGGAGGA